rnacentral:lncRNA from 1 species
AGUUUCCUUUCCUUGUAAGCAUGAAGAAGGCGACACUCUCAACUUGUGAAAACUGCAAGGGGAAGACUGACGCGCUCAAGAAGAUCAAAGGUAUAGCACAAUCUUUGCAUUGGAUCGCGGCCCUGAUUCCAUGAAAUCUCUGGUGCGGUUUUCCCAAUAGGGGUCGAUAAGGUGGAAUCGGAGUCGUCAGGCUGGUGGUGAUUGGAAAAUUUGAUGUGGACGACGUGCUAAAGGCGAUGGAUUGCCACCACAGUGUCCUUCGUUCCAUCGAGAACAAUUACGAGCCCCCCAAAAAGAAGGAAGCAGGCUCUAGCGUUAUAUAUGUGUACACCCACACCUACAACCAGUGGAAAACGUAUGAAACUAAAAAACGUAACGUUUUAAACGCGUUAAAAAACGCCGUUCUAAACUCCCAACGAGUUUGCACUAUUUGCGAAAAGAGACAAAGGUUUCUUUAGGGUUUCUUCAGAACUUCAUAAGGGAUCUCCCUCAUUGCUUUGCACGUUUUCACACCUCUUGCCCAAACUCCAGCACUCGCUCCGCUCCCCCAGUGUGAAUCUCAUGACAAUACUUACAUGUCCAGUGCCGCUCUGCUUGUAUCACAUGCUUCCAGCUCCAGCAUUCGUGGCGUCCUCCAAUUCCUGCCAUGAACCCUUAAAAAACCUCGCAGCAGUUUUUCCGAUUUCGAGCUAGCAGACCCAGCAGAUGCCGAUGAUGGGCAUCUGCUGCAGCAAGCCGCACAGGGUUCAGGGGGGCCAGCAGAAUCUAUGGUGGCAAGCACGGAGAACUGGUCCAGUGCUGAGACAAGCAGAUCAGCGAAACGGCUUCUUCUUUCAUUUGUUUUAGUAUGUUAUUCGGUUGGGUUUUAUAAACUUAAUAUUAGAUUAAAGUGUCUUUAGUAAAUAUUAGUGUUUUCUUAAUCAUUUUAGGCUUUAACAUGUAAACGUUUGAUUGUCCUGAAAAAAACGUUUUAAACGGCAUUUAAACGUGGACGCGUUUGAACGUUUGCACGUCUAGCUGCAACUAUGACUGGAAGUGAGUUAAAUAGUGUUUGUGUGUAAAAAUAGAUUUUCUCUUCCACCUCAAAUUCUUGAAUGUGGAAUUCAUGGGAGGUGAAGCAAUUUCGAAAGUUGAUGUCUCAAUCAAGGGCAUUAAUUUAUCUCGGUUCAGAGUUCAAAAGUGAAUCUAAAACAUUGAUCCCACAGAAAGAAGAAAGAAAACGCACUGGUGCAUUUGACUGUAAAGGAAUGUGGUUCAUUCUUCACCUUGAACUUUGAGGAGAUUAAUUCUCUUCCUAAGAGUUUGAAAAUGAACGUGCGUCAUCACAUUUUAAAGAGUGGAACUCUGAAAAAAACCAUUUGUUUUAUUCCUCUCAACAGGAGGAGACUUGAACGAAGUCACUUUUCAAUUGCAGGAUAAAAAUGAUGUUUUGACGAAGUGAGUUCUUUACUAGAGCUGAGAGCCACAGUAUCAAACUAGAUUUAAUUUGUUUAGAAGAAUGUAUAAUGCUAUUCAAGCUUCAAAGUUUAGAAAAAUGGUCCGUGAACGUACACUGACCUUUCAAUCUUACCAUGGAUUUAAGCGAUCAAUGUAAGCUUCUUUGGUCUCCCAGCUAGAAUGGAUUUGACAAAGUUGAUGGCCAGUCGCGAUUGUGGUCCUUCUGGGUAAAAGUUUAAGUCAAGGACGCUUCUUUGGUCUCCCAGCAUGGGUUUUGUCAGCGAUUUCAAAAAGCUGCAACUCAUCAAAUGACGUCAAAUGUGAGGCACGAGAAAGGGAAGCCCAUGUGAAAGUCCAGUGUAUGCUCUGAAAACUUUCUAUACAAUGCAAGAGAGAAGCUUUGAAAUGGUCUUCGAUUUGGCAAUUUAGCGGUGGCUAAACUGUAGAAUCCAGCUAUAAAAACCGCCACAAAGUUCGAACGUGAGCAGCAAGGCAUCUCGCAGCGUGUUCUUCGGAGUUGCAAAGUCUCAGCAAAGGUUCAAGAAAAAAUCUCGAUCCAUUUUUCCUCCUUUUGCAAGCAUGAAGAAGGUGACACUCUCAACUUGUGGGAGCUGCGAGGGAAAGACUGAUGCGCUUAAGAAGAUCAAAGGUAUGUGGAUUGGAAAUUUGAAAGCUGAUAUCGUUUCUUGUUUUUGAACAACAGGGGUUGAUAAGGUGGAAUGGGAGUCGUCAAGCCUGGUAGUGAUCGGCAAAUUUGAUGUGGACGACGUGGUCAAGGCGAUGGAUUGCCACCACAGCAUUCUUCGUUCUGUCGAGAACGAUUAUGAGCCCCCAAAGAAGGACAAGGAGAAGAAGGGCGGUGGUUCUAGCGUUGUAUAUGUUUACACCCACACCUACAAUCACUACAAUUGCAAGUGAACUUCAGGAGUUUCUGAUCUAAAAGCCAAGUUCUUAGGGUUUCUUAUUUCGCAUACUUUAGUUUAAAAUUUAACCCUCAAUUUAACGUAAGGGUUUAAGGAUGGAAUUAAAUUUUCAAAACUUGAAUAUUUUUUGAUCAAACUGAUGAAUAAUGCCGGUGCUCAGCCGUAGUCAAUACGAUCGGUGUGGAGUUCUAGAAUAGUAAACUAGCAGAGUUUUUUCCUACCUUACCUUUUUUAUGUUAUAAAAAACAACCAUCGAUUAACUGGUCCGAACUCACGGGAAACAGCUUUUUGGGGCCGAAAUUUCCACGAAAUUGUUCCCGCAAGGACAAUUAUGAGAGAGUAGAAGAAGGAACAUCAUGAAGUUCAUCCCACGGUGCCACGCGAUGUGCGGAAUAGUGGCAACGACCACUUCUAGUAGGGAAUCACCCAUUUGCUGCUGUAUGAUUUGCUGCUCAACUUGAGUUCUAGGCUCAAACGCGACAAUCUUUUGCGGCUUUGAUGAAUCGGUCUCUCAGCUAGUUGGAAUGUCCUCUUCAUAAGAAGAAUAGACUGUUAAAGUUGCAACAACGCGGAUCUAGACAGCGUGAAAUUUUCUUCUGCAUUGUGGUCGUCUUUGACUAUUCGCUGAAAUCGCGAGGAAUUUGGUGGUGACGCGUCGUCCUACAAAGACUGUACCGUAGAAUCAAGCUAUAAAAACCGCAAACGUAGCAGCAAGGCAUCUCGCAGCGUCUUUCUCGGUUUUCUGAGCAAACAUCUUGAGCAAGCAACUAGUAAUCUCGAUCCAUUUUCCUUUCCUUGCAAGCAUGAAGAAGGCGACACUCUCAACUUGUGAAAGCUGCAAGGGGAAGACCGACGCGCUCAAGAAGAUCAAAGGUAUAGCACAAUCUUUGCAUUGGAUCGCGGCCCUGAUUCCAUGAAAUCUCUGAACAGGGGUCGAUAAGGUGGAGUCGGAGUCGUCAGGCCUGGUGGUGAUUGGAAAAUUUGAUGUGGACGACGUGCUAAAGGCGAUGGAUUGCCACCACAGUGUCCUUCGUUCCAUCGAGAACAAUUACGAGCCCCCCAAAAAGAAGGAAGACAAGAAGGAGGAAGGUUCUAGCGUUAUAUAUGUGUACACCCACACCUACAACCAGUACUGGAAGUGAGUUAAAAUAGUGUUUGUGUAUAGAAGUAGUUUUUCUCUUCCACUUCAAAUACUUGAAUUCAUGGGAGGUGAAGCAAUUUCGAAAGCUUGAAACCGAUGCGGUUCAGAGAUCAAAAGCGAAUCUAAAAUAUUGAUCCCGCAGAAAGAAGAAAGAAAACACACCGGAGACUCUAUGGUGGCUCUCAGCUCUAGUAAACUUCUCACUUCGUCAAAACAUCAUUUUUAUCCUAAAAGUGAUCCUCCUCCUGUUUAGAGAAAUAAAUGGUUUAUUUUCUGAGGAGUUCCAAGUGAGUUCCAGGCUAUGCGAUUGGAAUUGUUUAGAAGAUUAUAUAAUGCUAUUCAAGCUUCAAACUUUAAAAAAAUGGUCCGUGAACGUGGACUGACCUUUCAAUCUUACCUUCUUUUCUGGAUUUAAGCGAUCAAUGUAAGCUUCUUUGGUCUCCCGGCUCGAAUGGACUUUUUCUUCCAGCGAUUUCAGAAAGGGAGCACGAGGGUGUCAAGUUGCAACACC